rnacentral:misc_RNA from 1 species
CAGAUGCACACUGACAGACUCUUACUUCUGGUAGACCGAGAGUCACAGACAACCACAAGAUCAAAUUAUUUUUACUUGCAACUUUAUCAGUCCAAUCAAUCAUCAAACUAUAUCUCCUAGCGCAUUAGCCAUUGCCACUCCAUUUUUUCCCACUGCUGGCUCACAACUGAACGCCCUUUCUUCUCCUAUUCCUCUUCCUGCCCAGGCAACUUUACAACCAUCCCUUCAAACCCAUAGUUCUUGAAAACUUCUCUCUAUAUUCAUAAUACUUUCUUGACUGUUUAUUAUGUUUAUCUGUUACUGGGUUUCCUUUUCGUUUUCCUUUUCUUUUCUUAUUGUGGGUAUUUUGGUUUUUUCGUCUUUGGCCUUUGGCAUCUUGUCCUCUGCUUUUUUUUCUUUGUUUCUAAUGGAUGUGUGUUGUGUUUGUUUUUGCUUUUUCUCUCUUUUGGGCUGAUUUUGUUAGAUUUGAUUCAGUUUGAUUGAUUUUAUGUUAGAGCAAGAGAGGAUCUAUAACUGUGGUAGAAAUUUGAAAUACUGUUAAGAAUUUGUAGAUGUUGUGACAAUUGAUUACAAGAGAGUUUACAUCAUUUAUUUUACGCUAUUACACUAUCUGUUAAAAAGCUCUGCUCUUUUUUGAUAAUUUCGCUUGUAAACUUGCUUGAAUUUUCCUCUUUUCAUUUUUCUUUGAAGCUAAUAUUUUUUGAUUAUAUAAUUGUAUUUUAUAUUAGGUUUAACGCUAUUAUAUGUCUUCUCUUAUAUUUGAAAGUUGAUGUUUAUCAGGUUCAGUUGCAGAUAUGGAUUGUCCAGGUCCAAGUUUGUUUCCAUUGCACCGCUGCAAAACUCUUCACCUGGUUGGUAUCAAAUUUGUUUUUCAAAUAAUCUACUGUGUCCAUUGUGGAUAUGAAGUUGCUACAUAUUUGGUCUGAAGGGCGUCCACGAUUGCCUUCUUUCUUGGCUUUUGCUCGCAAAACAAGGCAUUCUGGUCUUAUAAAACCAUGCAUCCAGGUGAGGCAUGCACAAGGGAUGCACAAUGUAGAGGGAGAUAAGAACUACAAAGCUUGCUUGUCUCCCGAAUAUUUUGAUGCACAACUUACUCAACUGGGUUGGCAGCAGGUUGACAAUUUGCGUAGGCAUGUCCGCACAUGUGGGCUUUCCAAGAGGAUUGAUUUGGUUAUUGCAUCUCCUUUGCUAAGGACAUUGCAAACAGCUGUUGGAGUUUUUGGCGGUGACAGCUAUACAGAUAGGACUGAUGCACUGCCACUGAUGGUGGCAAAUGCUGGAAACAGUGGUCGAGCUGCAAUUUCAAGUCUCAAUUCCCCACCUUUCAUUGCUGUAGAACUAUGUCGAGAACAUUUUGGUGUGCAUCCUUGUGACAAGAGGCGAAACGUCAGUGACUAUCAAUUUCUUUUCCCUGCAAUUGAUUUUUCAUUGAUAGAAACUGAUGAAGAUGUACUGUGGAAGGCCAAUGUGAGAGAGACAACUGAAGAACUUACUGCCAGGGGAUUAAAGUUCAUGAACUGGUUGUGGACAAGGAAAGAGAAAGAGAUAGCAAUAGUUACCCACAGUGGGUUCUUGUUUCAUACCUUGAAUGCAUUUGGAAAUGACUGUAACCCAUUGAUGAAAAAAGAAAUAUGCAAUCGGCUUCUGAGUUUCUGUCGGAUUCUGCAAUUUUGUUCUUUGGAUUUAUUGACUACAACUUAUUCACUUUUCCUUUUCAUGAUUUUUCAACAAAAGUGGAGUGGUAAUGUUCCUUUUCUGUUCAAAUCUGCGCUGAAAAGGGGGGGAAAAGAGAUGUUGGAACCUUUUUUGUCAACAAAAUUCAAGCUGAAAGCUCAUGCUUGCCCUACCACUUACAUAAAUGAUUGCAGCUUUGGUCCUUUAUUCUUAUGCUUUUUGCUUUUGUGUUGUGGCUUAUAAAGGUAAAAUCCUUGUAUUAUGGCUGCAUAUUUGUUUUUUGUCUGUUUUUUGUUUUUGCAAUGCAUCCUGUUGUUCUGAUGUGAUAUCCAGUGGUCCAGAGGUAGGUUCUGCUGUUUUCUUUAGAUUUUUACUGCACAUGGUAAAUUCAACCAUGUUUUUGUUCUACCCAUCCUAAAACCAGAAAUGACUUGUUGCAUGCACUUGCAGCUUUACAAAUUGUGAGCUUCGAUCCAUGGUCAUUGUUGACAGAAGUAUGACUGGAUCAGAUCCUGCAACAACUAACUAUACUGGAAAGAUUCCUCGAGGGCUGGAUCUUCCAAGUGAUGCUCUGGAGGAGGAUAAACCCAAAACAAAUUCAGUCAUCUAAGCACUAAAGGCAUCGAAAUUGAGUUGAGCGUUCAUAAUUGAGUAUUGGCAUUCUUGGAAAACAAUGGCUUCCAUACUCUUGAAAUAUUUAUUUCUGUUGCCCAGAGCUACGAUGCACUCUAAUUACAACAGAUAUAGGCUGCUUAUUUGAAAUGAAAACUGGGAUGAGUUCUUGGUUGAGAUGGUACCAUGAUAUUCAAUCAUAUUUAAGUUUUUGCAUUUUUUUCAUUCAAUGAGUUAAACAACAGGGAUUGAUGUUCCCUUUUUAACACCUCUUCCCUGCCCAAUCUCAUCAAGAUUCAAACCUGAGAACUACCUCCUCCCUCCCCAUUCUUCGUUCCACAGAAAGGUUUCAGAUGUGCAUGAUUGAGGCUUGAAAGGAACACAAGCUUCAAGUUUAAUCAACCUAGCAUAGAAAGCAUCUAUAUUUUUAAGAACAGCUGUUUUGAUCUCAUGUCAGCUGGAUAAGUGGAUAAGAAAUAAGUGCCUAACUGUUACCUAGUGAGUCUCCAAUCUCAAAUGGCUUAUCUUCAACCCAAUUGUCGUGGAAAGAAGUGUUAUUAGUCUACGUUAUCUAUCUUUUUAUAAUAAUAGUUAAUGAUGAAUAGACAAGUGAACGAGUGAUGGAGGGA